GGAGAUAUGAGAUGUUGGUUUAUCAGUAUUGUAUCAGUUUCAUAUCAUGCUUAGUAGUUGUUUUCGUAUCAUGGUAGUUGUUAAUUUAAUUAACCUGUUAAAUGCUAUGUUAUUGUCUUGCCUUGAUGUUUAUGGUUAUUGUGAGCUUGCAAGUACAUUCAAUGUACUGACCUGGCAUGUCACGCCAGAUUACGGGUGAUACCAUGAUUGCUUGAUUGAUUGUCGAUGGUUGCCGUGCCUGCGAGCUAGAUCGUGUCCCAACCAUAGUCCCUGCGGAGUGGAGUUCACCAUCUUCGUCGUUGUUCCGUUGCUAGAAGUAUUCCGUUGCUAUGAGUUAUUCUGCUGCUAGCAUAGAGCAAGUAUAGUAUCGCAAGCGUAGUGUCGCCGUGCUGAUGUGCUUCUUUGUAACAUCAGACCCUUGUAUUAUUAUUCUUGUAAUAAGAGCUGAUUUGUUCUAUGUCAGGCAGUGUCGUAUUCCAGAGACUUCUCCUCGGUCUCUGGGCUGGAAUACGGGGCGUUCUAGUUUCUCUGAGCUGGGUGCCAUAGGCUUGGUAUCAGAGCAGGUCUGCCUAUAGGACGCCCUAGUCAGUACGAGCCAUAGAAACCGGUAGAAAUCGGUAGUAUAGAGUUUGGCUUGUUUAUUGCAUUUGGUUGCUGAAUUUGUUUGUUGCAUAGCAUGCAUAUAGCCUUAUUAUUUUGCUACUGGCUAUUUAUUUGGUGAGUGUAGAUGGCAUCGGUUCGAAUCCACUACAGCUCAGCCUUUGUAUUUCUGUAGUUUUCUUUUCUUGCUUGUUCGUCGGUGUUUGGUGUCAUUUCUGUCCCAGCAGAGUGAUGCCGAGUAAUCCCGAUACUGUUUGCAAGAAUGGUGCUCAGGUAUCUCGCCAAUAUCCUCCUUUCAGCCCCGCCUAUCGUUUCGGUGAUGAACAUGCUUCUAUCCCAAGUCGCUCUUUUAUUUUUCCAUGUUGACAACCCUUAAUGAUUUGAGUUAUCAAGAAAGGGAAAUGUCAGCAGCCUCAAUCUUCCCCGCAAUCCUAUUUCUUGGACGAAUACGGAUAUUUUCCGUCCACUUGAAAAUAAUGUGGUCGCGACAUUCGUGUCAUGCUACAUGGUUACCAAGUAUGUCCUCUCCUCUGAGCUAGUCCAGGUUGCUACCUGGCUAAGCUAGCACUUGGUGUAGCGUUGUUUACACCAAUUCUUCCACACAUUUAUUCGUCCUCGUGCACAUCAUCACAUCAUGCUAGAUCAUAGAACCGGAGAUCCCGAGAAAUUUGUGUGCUUAAGUAGGCAUGCAUAUUGUGUGACUAGCAGUACUAUGUGACAUUCGUUGUGUGUGAAUUGAUUGUUGUUGUGUGCUUUUGUUUAGUGGAGUUUUCUUUUGUUUGUUUCUUUUUGGGCCCUGGUGUUACAUUAUUUUUCCCCUAUAAAGAGUUGCUCAUCAUCUGACACCGGACUCAAAGAAGUAAUAAGGAGUUCAAAUAUUUGAAAGCUCAGCUAAACAGAAUGGAAUUCUCAGCCGACUGCAGUAAAAUGGGGAAUAUCUGAUCGUGAGGCUGAUAAUCAAACUUUUGCAUUAAUGUGCACUCCUCACAACAGUACUGAUAACUCAAGCAUGUAUCAGUAUAAAAUCCACACAGCAGUAAUGAUCAGCAGCAAGACAAGUCAGGUACAAGAUCAAUGGUAUAUUUUCAGUCAAAGGUAUGGGUCAUAUACAAAAUUUUGGCUCAGCAAUGCAUGAUGCUUGAAAUAUGUUAUCAUCCGAAAUAAAGUCCGAAUGUGAUAUGCUCAAGGAAGACAGUUAGACAAAUUUUCUCAUGCAAAUAUUCAGCCACAGAAUAUUAUGUGUGUCUGUGUGUGUGGAUUUCAGUCUGCAUAUUAGUAUGAAGUUUUGGAUAUAAGAAACUCAGUAUUCUUCCACAUGUUAGCGGAAGAAAUUUAUGAUGCAAGGCUCCUCGUCAUGAUAUGUGAAUAAUUUCUGGUCCACGAUACCCGGUCUUUCUCAACAAGAUACCUCGGUAAAAGCUUCUGACGGACGGAAAUGAUUUUUUCUCAACAAGCAAAACCGAGGAGAAGCUUCUCAAGUAUGGAACCCAGGCUUCUCCUGCACAAUACUCAUGCCAAGCUUCGUGUGUAAGCUAUCGAGGCUUCUUCUGCACGCUACCCAAACAAAAGCUUCGAGCAGAAGCUAAUGAGCCUUCCUCGGCAAGCUACACGAAUGGCUUUUCUCUGCAGAUCAAGGAUCAGAUUUGCAAUAAUUUUGUCAGAGGUACAAUACAGUCAAAACAUAUGCCUACCGCAAGAAUCAAAUGGUUGGUUGCAUAUGAUUUUUAUAUAUGGUGAGCACGUAUCCCCGGCCAGAUCAGUCACUCAUACGAGGUACGGCAAGGAUCCAACAUAUAUACCUAAGGAAGGUACUGAUCCAACAACCUCAUGAAUCAUGCAAAGGAAGAUAAGCAGAGAUACAUCUCAUGAAUUACAAGGAUCGACAAGAUCUAGGGAUAACAUCAUAGAAUCCACAGUGUUGGCAAUGGUCAUCAAGGUCAUUAUUCCCGCACCAGACAAGGUGAUAUCAUGAAACCUCGUCACCUUCUUGUAUAAUUGGCCUCAGCAAUGAGCUUCAUGCAGAUACAAGCUCCGAACAUAUGUCAUAUGUGUGCGGACUCAGGUCAGAAAAUAGGCACAAACGAAUAAUGCCAACAAGAUUGCACUAAUCACGUCCAUGGUUAUAUGAAGAAUCAAGGACAUGUGUGUCCAAGUUAUUUCGGUAAGGUAUCCUAACAAAGAAAAUCAUGACCAUUAAAGGGUGAGACGGACAACAAAGGUAGGAGGAUUUUUGCAUGACUAUCAGGGUCCGGAUACCCAAAUCAGUUGGAGGCCAUAAUUCCAUAUGGAUCCACAAAGACAUACACCUUCAACGACCUACUCUAUUUACAAGGAUUUUCAUAUCCCGCUGACCCGCUUGACAUGGUUAGUGUGGAAUAUCCAAGUCUGUUCUGUCAGAUCCAAGAUUCCUUUGCAACCUCAACAGUUUGACCUCAGCGGAAGUGUUAAAACAUAUCACAGCGUAUUACCAAAGAUGGGUAUACCGACAAAAUGAGAAAACCAAAAAUCGAAUAAUCAGCUUAGACCCGGUAUACUCGCCGACGAAAUCAAGUACACGGUCAGUUUGUCAGGAAAAGCAUUUGUCCAUCAGCCCCGUGUUGGGCAAAGUCUCAAGAUGUAAGUAUUUGAGGUAUGGCACAGCGAUAACCCAUACACCGUUAUAUUGCUCACAACAAAAGGCAGUCAAAUCUCUGAUAUAUGCCACAUGCUCAAGCCAAAGGAAAUAAAUCAAGAUAAAUCGGUGCCACCUAUGAGCAGUCAGAUCCUGUCAGAAGAUGGCCAUGAUUAAUUCUAAGCAUUUAUGGAACCUAGAAGGCUUGCAUUUAUUUGAAGCAACCCCAUGACAGAAGUAAAAAGGUUUUCUUGACCAAAGGAAAUUUAUGCUCAGAUCCAUUGGAUAUCACUACAGAUAUGAAAGAAUCAACGUCAGCAAAAGUAUUUGGGUGUGUGCAAAACCCGUCAGAAUUUGGGGAAAGGUGAAGCAAACCACCCCCGAGCAAAGAUAAUCAAAUCAUAUAAAAUUCUUGGGGGAACAAUAACUAAAGGAAAAAUGAUACCCGAGCUAGAAAGGGUGUCCUCAAGUCAUACUUGUUCCCUAAGAAACUAAAUCUCGAGGACGAGAUUUCUUUAAGGGGGUAAGAGUUGUAACAGCCUGGAUUUUGGCCCUUUUUCUUUUCUUUUGGUUUAUUGGUCUUUGCUCUAUUUUUCUUUUUGGAGUGGUUCUGUGGCCUUGUCACCUGGGAAAUCAUCUUCAUUUCCUCUGCCAAGUGGCUCAUCAUUCUCAAAACCUUGCCAAGAUCAUGUCACUCCACUGCUUGACCAAACCCUAAUUUCUUUAUUUAGGGAAAAUUCUUUUUUCUAUUAAAGGGAUAACCCUAUCUGCCCUAGGUUGUGAAGAAACCUAUAUUUCUGUCCAUCCAAAAACUCUCAAAUAAUUCUCAUAAUUUCUUAGGGUCAUAUGUUGCUCAAAUAUGCGCAAAUAUCACCUUGUCCAGUUCAAAAAUAAUUCUCCAAUAUUCAUUCUUCCAUUCUGUCCAGAGUGGCACUUUGUGAAGGAAGUGUCAUUCACCCUAUCUUGUUUGCUCCCAAACUUUUUGGGAAUGAUAUAUCAUCCAAAUAAUUUCCCUGUGCCAAAAUUCAACUUUACUUGCCUAGCCAAACUUCCUCAGUGAUUUUUCAAAGUUUCUGUUUGAGGGAAGCCUUUGUGAAGGAAGUGCUAGCUAGGGUUAUCAGAAUGAGUUGAAAUUUUGCAUGCCUCUUCUUGUUCUCAUAUAAUUGCUCUCCUCCAAAUUUAAGCUCCAUCCCGUGAUCAAUGUGAGCACAACAUCAAAUCUUUGAUUCUCUCAAUAUUUUCAGUUUGUGAAGCAAGUAUAUUUUAUAUUGCUUCAUUUUUCCUGAAAAUUUACCAGAGCAUUCUACUACCCAAAUAACUUCUCUCUACCAUAUUUGGCACCAUUUCACCUAUCCAAUACUCCUCUAGAAUUUUUACAAGUUUCUAUCGAGAGGAGAUGUUUGUGAAGCAAGUACCACCUUGGCUUGUCCAAUUGGUAUGAAAUUUUUACAGCACCUUAUUCUGGACAAAUCACUAAGCCCAGCCAAGUUUAACCUCAAGUGGUUACUCCAUGUGAGUGCAUAAUCCAAAUCUUGAUUCUGGACCCUUAAUGUGAGUUACAAAGCAACUAUAUUAGUUUGUGGUCCCUUAUGCCUCAAAACCUCCCGGAUCAUAUUCCUUCCUUAAUUAAUCACCCCAGACAAACUCUUUGGUGCCAGUAAAAUCCCUGUUGAUCACCAGUGUUCACCCAAGUUUACUGCAGUAAACUUCAGAGGGUGAUUGCCAAUUAACCAAAGCAGUUUUAACCAAACUACCACCGCGGUUGUAACCUACCCUGGAUGAUCUUACCACUAGACAACAUUGUCAGGCCCCUCUCCCUCGCUACCUGCCAGUGCACGCGGUGACCGCGUUAGUGGCACCACAGUGCACGCGCUCUGUGUGCAGUGGCCGCGUCUAGUGGCCGUUUAUGCAUUGGCAGCUCCUCCUCUCAUGGACUUUGUGCGCGUGAGCAUGUCCAAGAGUUUUACCGCGUAGUCGCUGUCCUCCUGGACCUCUCUCCCUCUCAGUAAAACCCCUCACCGACGCUCACCGACGCUCGCCGCCGAACACCCAUGAGAGCACAGUGGUGUUUUGGCUCGGUUCAUCACGGUCUUCUUCCUCCCUGCGCUCCCUUGGCUUUCUCCUCCCCUUGAGCUCUCCACUGUGUCUCCCUCGUCGCCUGCCUCCGAGUUCAUGUGAGUGGACACGCGUUCGCGGCGCCGGCCACGCGUCCGCGGCGACGCCAGCUCGGCCUCCUCGCCCCGCGGCUAUAUAAGGCCACCCCGAGACCCCCCGAGCUCACCAGCCUCCUCUACUCCCCCCUAGCUACCUCACCGACCAGUCAACCGAGCUCCAGAGUCCCUCAUUCCUCCUCCACGGCCGCCGUGUCCACCUCGGGUUCGGCCCAAAUUGGCUCAAGCCCGAUCUUCUCCCUCCACUCUACCACCACCAUAGGAUUCCCUGUAGUCCGGCGCCCCUCCCCCACCCCUCAGUUCGGCGCUGGAGUGCUCGUAGCCGCGAGUUCCCUAGUCCGGCCGCCGCCAUGGGUUCUCUGCCACCACACGGUGACGCGGCCACACCCCUCCCCGGCGCCUGCGUUUGCUCCAGGCAGGAGCAGCUCGUCUUCCCGAUCUCGCCGGUGUGCUGGGCCUCACAGGAGACGUCCCAGGUCGCCGGAACGGGCGUCGGCAGCUGCUGUCGUCCUCUGCCUUCGCGGGCGAGCGGGAGGUAGGAGAAGGAGACGAGGCCAGGCGGGCCCCCUCCUUUCCCCGACCCCACCUGGCAGCCACCCCGGCGCUGACCCCGCCCUAUCCAUGUGGUUAAGUGGCGGGCCCCGCAUGUAAGUCCCCGCGUUGAUCCGAACUGCUGAGGUGGAUAAGUGAAAGCGUAUUCUGGGGAAUACGUUUUCCUCCACCGAAAGCGCAUUAUGUUUCUUCUUCAGCCUAGAUUACGUUUUCAGUUCAGUGAAAGGGUAUUUCACUAAUUGUGUUUUCCGUUUUUCUGUCCAGGCCCUGUGUGAAAGUAUUUUCCUUACAGAUAGGUCUCUGGUAGUCAAACACUCAUAUAUUUUUAACCACAACUCCAAAUGAGGUGAUUCCAAAGCCCACUUCUUCGUUUCGUCGAGCCCGUUCCGAUGGAAUCAUUUUCACCAUGUUUUUAAAUUAUCAAAAUGACCAUUUUGCCCCUGCCCUUCUUCAGCCCCCUCCGCGAGUGAACGUUUUCCGGCGAUUCGUUCCGCGAGCUUCUCGUAAUUCUUUCCGGUGAUUUCUUCCACCCCAGGCAAGCCACACCCUCCAUUUGCAUGAUUGCAAUUCAAUGACAUGGUUCUUGAUUUAAACUUGUUUAAAAUAUUGCUUUAGCUACAUGUGAUCUUGUUCAUGGCAUUUAUCGGAGUAUUAUUUUGAUCUUGCUAUUGCCAUGAUAUUGUUUGGAGUUCUAGGACUUACAUUUUGAUGAGUAUGUGGAUGACAUGUUGCCUUCGGAUUAUUAGUGGCUAUUAUGAUUAUUUUCAUGAUGGUAUCUGGUAUUAUUUUGGAGUAUUACUUUGGAUAUCAUGCUACCUUUGGGUUAUUAGUGGUUAGUAUGAUUACUUUCAUGAUGCUAGUUGAUUUUAUGUUUGGAGUAUCAUGAUGGAGAUGAUGCUUGCAUGUGGAUCAUAGCUUGAUAGUUAGAUCUUGAUAGUGGAGUAGUAGAGUUAUUGUUUUCAGAUUCAUCAUGAUAGAAAUGUUAUGCUAUCGUUGGAGUAUUUUGAUAUGAUGAGAUUAUGCUCAGAUUAUUUGUUGGAUAUUGCUAUGACUUGGAUUAUAGUUUGAUAGUUGAUAUCGGAGUAUCAGUUAUCAUAGUUAUAUUUUUGGGGAUAAAUUCUGUCAUUAAGUUGGUCAGGUGCCACCGAAUCGGGCUUUUCAAGUGCAACCACAUUUGCCUUUAUGGGAAGGCGCUAAUGCGAUGCUAUUGUUGUGCCUCUCGCUGGUGCCUCCAACGAGGGAAGGUCAUGGGCACGCGCUACCGUGAUCAGGUAGGCGGACAUGAACCUUGUGAGCCCGAGUUGUUUUGCGCGCUUUGUCCCCGCUUGGGACCGUUUAUGCCACGACGGUGGCCGUAAGACCUUUGGUAUGCAUGGGCCACCUAGGACUGAACCCAAAAGGGGUGUUGGUCGGAGUGGCUGGGAGAGUGUCAUGGCAGUAGAUCGGUUUUAUCGGAACGUCGUUGGUCCACCCGAAUGGGAGUGCGAGGCCAUGGGUUCCAUGGUGUGGGUAAAGUGCGCUACCUCUGCAGAGAGUGUAUUUAAAUCUAUCGAUAGCCGUGUCCUCGGUCAUGGGCAUGGGUUCAUACUAGGUCACACCAUUCGAUCAACACUCACAUGACGGAAUGACUUAUAGGUGAUAUAUUUAUAUGUUGAUAUGUUGAGCAGUACAGAUUGGCAGGAUGUUGAUGAUGAUGUUGGAGACCAAGUGCUGGUCAUGGUUGCGAUCGCCGGAAAGAUCACUGUUUGAGACCAAGUGUUUGUCAUGGUAGUGAUCGUCGGAAAGAUCACCGUUUAGUUUUGAUCACGAGGUGAUCGAGAUGGUAUAUUGCUUGGCCGGUUAGCCAAGAGAGAUAUGGUUAUGGAGAUAUGAGAUGUUGGUUUAUCAGUAUUGUAUCAGUUUCAUAUCAUGCUUAGUAGUUGCUGCCGUAUCAUGGUAGUUGUUAAUUUAAUUAACCUGUUAAAUGCUAUGUUAUUGUCUUGCCUUGAUGUUUAUGGUUGUUGUGAGCUUGCCAGUACAUUCAAUGUACUGACCUGGCGUGUCAUGCCAGAUUGCAGGUGAUACCAUGAUUGCUUGAUUGAUUUUCGAUGGUUGCCGUGCAUGCGAGAUAGAUCAUGUCCCAGCCAGAGUCACUUCAGAGUGGAGUUCACCACCUUCGUCGUUGUU
rnacentral:lncRNA from 1 species